rnacentral:rRNA from 1 species
GUCUAUAUGAAGGUGUAUAUAGUUUGGCCUGCUCACUGAUUAUAUUAAAGAGCCGCAGUAUUUUGACUGUGCGAAGGUAGCAUAAUAAAUUGUCUUUUAAAUGGAGGCUUGAAUGAAAGGUUGGACAAAGUAUCAUCUGUUUCUUAAAUAUUUAUUGAAUUUGACUUUCAAGUGAAAAGGCUUGAAUAAAUUAAAAAGACGAUAAGACCCUAUAAAUCUUUACAAUAAACAUAUUUUAUAUUUUUAUUUAUUAAGUGAAUGAGAUAUUAAAUUUGUAGUUGUUUCGCUGGGGCGGCGUAGAUAUAUAAAUGAACUGUCUAUAAUUUUAAAUACAAUAAUUAUUGAUUAAUGAAAUUGAUCCUUAAAUAGAUUAAAAGAUUAAGAUACUUUAGGGAUAACAGCGUUAUUUUUUCUGAGAGUUCUUAUCGAAGAAAAAGUUUGCGACCUCGAUGUUGAAUUAAAGUAUCUUUAUGGUGCAGUCGCUAUAAGAGAGAGUCUGUUCGACUUUUAAUACUUUACAUGAUUUGAGUUCAGACCGGCGUGAG